rnacentral:rRNA from 1 species
AGNNGACAAACUAAAGCGAAAGCAUUCGUCAAGCAUGUUUUCAUUGGCCAUGAGCGAAAGUCAGAGGCUCGAAGACGAUCAGAUACCGUCCUAGUUCUGACCAUAAACGAUGCCAACUGACGAUCCGUGGUGGUAGUUACACCUUCACGGGCAGAUCCCCGGAAACUUAAGUCUUUGGGUUCCGGGGGAAGUAUGGUUGCAAAGCUGAAACUUAAAGGAAUUGACGGAAGGGCACCACCAGGAGUGGAGCCUGCGGCUUAAUUUGACUCAACACGGGAAAACUCACCCGGCCCGGACACUAUGAGGAUUGACAGAUUGACAGCUCUUUCUUGAUUUGGUGGUUGGUGGUGCAUGGCCGUUCUUAGUUGGUGGAGCGAUUUGUCUGGUUAAUUCCGAUAACGAACGAGACUCCUGCCUGCUAAUUAGUCGCCUGAUCAACUUGCUUGUGAAGGCGUGUUCGACGAACUGGCUUUCUUAAGCUGCAUGAAAUCGGGCGGUUUCGGGACUGUGCUGGGCUUAGUAGUACAGG